rnacentral:misc_RNA from 1 species
UAGCAGGAGUCAAAUGGCCCGACA